rnacentral:rRNA from 1 species
UACAGAGGGGGCAAGCGUUGUUCGGAAUUACUGGGCGUAAAGGGCGCGUAGGCGGCCCGCUAAGUCGAACGUGAAAUCCCCAGGCUCAACCUGGGAACUGCGUCCGAUACUGGCAGGCUUGAAUCCGGGAGAGGGAUGGGGAAUUCCAGGUGUAGCGGUGAAAUGCGUAGAUAUCUGGAGGAACACCGGUGGCGAAGGCGGCAUCCUGGACCGGCAUUGACGCUGAGGCGCGAAAGCUAGGGGAGCAAACAGG